UACGGAGGGUGCAAGCGUUAUUCGGAAUUACUGGGCGUAAAGCGCGCGUAGGCGGCUUUGUAAGUCAGGGGUGAAAUCCCACGUCUCAACCGUGGGACUGCCUUUGAAACUGCGAGGCUUGAAUCCUGGAGAGGGUGGCGGAAUUCCUGGUGUAGGAGUGAAAUCCGUAGAUAUCAGGAGGAACACCGGUGGCGAAGGCGGCCACCUGGACAGGUAUUGACGCUGAGGUGCGAAAGUGUGGGGAGCAAACAGGAUUAGAUACCCCUGUAGUCCCUGAG
rnacentral:rRNA from 1 species